UCAUUGUAUUUUUCUCCAUCGCCUAUGUUCAUUAGCUAGCAGCACCAUCUUCGUUUUCUUUUCAUUGAAGCUUAAAAGAGUUAGCAGCAAACAAUUUAUCCUUCUUCAAUUAACCAAAGUACUAUGCACACCGUUCUUUCCCUUUGCAAUUCAGCGAAGUGUAGCAACAAAUAAAUAAGGUUUAUUUUAUGAGAAUUCCAUCAAAUUCUCUCAAGCAGUUGGAAUCGUGGUGAAGUAAAUGCUGGAAAGAUUUAAAAAAAAAAGGGAGACCCAAGUACAAUUUAUUGUCUAUGCCCAUCCACGAGCUCGUAUGAGCAUAUAAGGGAGAUCAGCGGGGGUUUGAUAGCUCGUGUAGAACUUGUUGGAAGUUGUGUUGAAGAUCUUAUUAUUGAUAUUUAUGGCUGAUUAUGAAGGAGGAAGACUUGAUAGAAUUGUUAGAGUGAUAACGUUGAGUUUUGAAAAAAUAUGGAUGUUGAACUUAUCUGUUUAGUAAUUCUAGAUCGACCUUGUUGCUCGUUAGGUUGUUGAUUGAGUUGCUGGUUGUGUUGUUGUGCUACCUUUCCUAUGGAUAGGCUUAAGGGAGUGGUCGUGAGGUGGAUACAAGUUAAACUCUUGAGCCAGUGGGUUAAGACCAGCCCCAGAUUGUUUGGCAGGUUAAGUGUAUAGCUAGGAUGCUUGGACGUCAGCUGGGAUUGGCAAGUUCUACCUCAUUCUGGAGCUGUGCUGAGUCAUGUAUAGAUACGUAUGAUUACGGGUAUGUCAGGGCCCGGUCCUGACUCAUAAUGUUCAGUUUACUUCUUAGAGACUUCUGCAGACAGUGUCUUGUGGUAUGUUUGUCGAGGUGUCGACAAAGUGAUGUCAGUUGAGUCCUUUGUGGAUUUUAAAAGAGUAUGUAUUUAAGAUGAUUUAGAUUGGUCUAAAGUACUUAUUGAUUGGAAAUUUUCAUAAUCAUUAUAGAGAUAAU